rnacentral:rRNA from 1 species
UGGCUCAGAUUGAACGCUGGCGGCAGGCCUAACACAUGCAAGUCGAGCGGUAACAUUUCUAGCUUGCUAGAAGAUGACGAGCGGCGGACGGGUGAGUAAUGCUUGGGAAUAUGCCUUAGGGUGGGGGACAACAGUUGGAAACGACUGCUAAUACCGCAUAACGUCUACGGACCAAAGGGGGCUUCGGCUCUCGCCCUUAGAUUAGCCCAAGUGGGAUUAGCUAGUUGGUGAGGUAAUGGCUCACCAAGGCGACGAUCCCUAGCUGGUUUGAGAGGAUGAUCAGCCACACUGGAACUGAGACACGGUCCAGACUCCUACGGGAGGCAGCAGUGGGGAAUAUUGCACAAUGGGCGCAAGCCUGAUGCAGCCAUGCCGCGUGUGUGAAGAAGGCCUUAGGGUUGUAAAGCACUUUCAGUAAGGAGGAAAGGUUAGUAGUUAAUACCUGCUAGCUGUGACGUUACUUACAGAAGAAGCACCGGCUAACUCCGUGCCAGCAGCCGCGGUAAUACGGAGGGUGCGAGCGUUAAUCGGAAUUACUGGGCGUAAAGCGUACGCAGGCGGUUUGUUAAGCGAGAUGUGAAAGCCCCGGGCUCAACCUGGGAACUGCAUUUCGAAACUGGCAAACUAGAGUAUGAUAGAGGGUGGUAGAA